rnacentral:tRNA from 1 species
UGGUCCCGUAGUGGAGCGGUUUAACACGCCUGCCUGUCACGCAGGAGAUCGCGGGUUCGAUUCCCGUCGGGACCGCUAA